UACGUAGGGGGCAAGCGUUGUCCGGAAUCAUUGGGCGUAAAGCGCGCGUAGGCGGCCCGGUAAGUCCGCUGUAAAAGUCCAGGGCUCAACCCUGGAAAGCCGGUGGAUACUGUCGGGCUAGAGUCCGGAAGAGGCGAGUGGAAUUCCAGGUGUAGCGGUGAAAUGCGUAGAUAUCUGGAGGAACACCGGUGGCGAAGGCGGCAUCCUGGACCGGCAUUGACGCUGAGGCGCGAAAGCCAGGGGAGCAAACGGG
rnacentral:rRNA from 1 species